rnacentral:rRNA from 1 species
AGAACGAACGCUGGCGGCAUGCCUAACACAUGCAAGUCGAACGCGUGGAGCAAUCCACGAGUGGCGCACGGGUGAGUAACGCGUGGGAACCUGUCCUGGAGUGGGGGAUAACCGAGGGAAACCUCGGCUAAUACCGCAUACGUCCUGAGGGAGAAAGAUUUAUCGCUCUAGGAGGGGCCCGCGUCGGAUUAGCUAGUUGGUGGGGUAACGGCCUACCAAGGCGAUGAUCCGUAGCUGGUCUGAGAGGAUGAUCAGCCACACUGGGACUGAGACACGGCCCAGACUCCUACGGGAGGCAGCAGUGGGGAAUAUUGGACAAUGGGCGCAAGCCUGAUCCAGCAAUGCCGCGUGAGUGAUGAAGGCCUUAGGGUUGUAAAGCUCUUUCGGCGGGACGAUGAUGACGGUACCCGCAGAAGAAGCCCCGGCUAACUUCGUGCCAGCAGCCGC